rnacentral:lncRNA from 1 species
UCAGAUUGGAAACUGGGGACAGAUCAUUCCUGGGAUGUGACGGGCACCAGAAUGCUCCCUCUCCAAAGGAUCUAAGGACCAAAGCUGACAGUUUCUUUACUUGAGGUAGCUGACAGCAUCUACUCCUGAAGACCGGAAACAUGGCUUGUACCAUCCAAAAGGCAGAAGCACUUGACGGGGCUCAUUUGAUGCAGAUCCUCUGGUAUGAUGAGGAAGAGUCUC